GUCCGUGGAGUUCUGUAGCUUAGUGGUUAGAGCACUCGCCUCGUAAGCUAGAGGACCUGGGUUCGAUUCCCAGAGAGGGCG